GGGGGGGAUAAAAAAAAAAAAAAAAAAAGUCUCAAUCAAAGGGAUUUCAGUAUAACCAAGUCAUCCCAACAUGGAUUCCCUCACCAAGGGAAAAACAUCCAGUCACAGACAUCCCACCUAAAAAAGAACAACAAAUUUACUCCAGAGUCUGCAGCCUCAGUCACACAAACCUACCAGGGAAACAAAGAAAACUUUCCAGAUACAAAGUGUUAAUGACAGACUGAGGAGAUGCAGAAGACACAGCAGAGCUGCAAAGACCUUGCUGGAAUAAAUCUCCUGGUUUUAAGGUGAAAAGGGAUCUUGUGACCUGCCUGGCUCCCUCCCACACCCCACAAGGCACAGAAUCCCACCGGUCAGUCCUGUCUGCAUCACCCUGCCUGCAAAGGGGGCUCUUGGUUCCCUGGCUGGGGUUUAUUUAAACAGGCUGCAGCUACCUGGGAGCAGAGCCUUCAACUGCUGCAAAAUCCUUUCUUCAGUUAUCCAUCAGCACUAAGAAAACAUCCCUGAGCCAGUCUGGCUGUACCCAGAGUGUUUAUUAGCU